CUGCCCCAUAAGUGCCUUCAGGUGCCCCAUAAGUGCCUUCCAAGUGCCCCAUAAGUGCUAUGGG
rnacentral:lncRNA from 1 species